GAACUGGACUGAACUAUCUAGUACUUGGACUGUCAGGACCUUAUUCUGCCUGCGGUUGAACUACCAUUGACAAGUCUACAUUACAUAAUGUCAGUUCAGCAAGAUGAUUGGUCAUCCUAUUUUCCCUCUCUUGAACAUCCUAGACCUGGGGUGGCAUCAUUAAGAUUUUUAACCAUCUUCUCGAGGUAUGCGUGGAUGCGGCCGGCAAAAUGCAAGACAUGCUCAUUCAGUUGGUACACCAUUUGGUUCAGUAAUUUUCCUCCUCUUUUUUGAAGCAGACAGUGCAGCGAGGGGAUAGACCUUCUGGGAGUAAACAGCCAUGGGAGAUGCAGCAGUAGGCGUAGCCGAAGCUGGGCUACGGAUCCAACUCCCACUUGAGCAAGGACGGAUCAUACUCCGAAGCCCAUGAGAGCUGCAUCCUUUCCUAUCACCAGAAUGGGAAGGCUCCUAAUUUCCACGCGGGGAGCCUUCCCGUUCCUGAGCCUCCAGGCGAGCUGGGUUCACCCUAAGCUUCCAGGCGUCACCAUGCCAGAAGCGGCCGCCGUCAUACGUGAACUGUCAGCCCUUGCAAAGCAACCGUCGAGCGACACG